rnacentral:rRNA from 1 species
CCUACGGGUGGCAGCAGUAGGGAAUAUUGCUCAAUGGGGGAAACCCUGAAGCAGCAACGCCGCGUGGAGGAUGACUGCCCUACGGGUUGUAAACUUCUUUUAUAAAGGAAUAAAGUGAGGCACGUGUGCCUUUUUGUAUGUACUUUAUGAAUAAGGAUCGGCUAACUCCGUGCCAGCAGCCGCGGUAAUACGGAGGAUCCGAGCGUUAUCCGGAUUUAUUGGGUUUAAAGGGAGCGUAGAUGGGUUGUUAAGUCAGUUGUGAAAGUUUGCGGCUCAACCGUAAAAUUGCAAUUGAUACUGGCAGCCUUGAGUACAGUUGAGGUAGGCGGAAUUCGUGGUGUAGCGGUGAAAUGCUUAGAUAUCACGAAGAACUCCGAUUGCGAAGGCAGCUUACUAAACUGCCACUGACAUUGAUGCUCGAAAGUGUGGGUAUCAAACAGGAUUAGAUACCCGAGUAGUC